AUACCGCAUAAGCGCACGAGGAGACAUCUCCUUGUGUGAAAAAACUUCGGUGGUACAGGAUGGGCCCGCGUCUGAUUAGCUGGUUGGCAGGGUAACGGCCUACCAAGGCAACGAUCAGUAGCCGGUCUGAGAGGAUGAACGGCCACAUUGGAACUGAGACACGGUCCAAACUCCUACGGGAGGCAGCAGUGGGGAAUAUUGCACAAUGGGGGAAAACCCUGAUGCAGCAACGCCGCGUGAGUGAAGAAGUAUUUCGGUAUGUAAAGCUCUAUCAGCAGGGAAGAUAAUGACGGUACCUGACUAAGAAGCUCCGGCUAAAUACGUGCCAGCAGCCGCGGUAAUACGUAUGGAGCAAGCGUUAUCCGGAUUUACUGGGUGUAAAGGGUGCGUAGGUGGCAGUGCAAGUCAGAUGUGAAAAGGCCGGGGCUCAACCCCGGAGCUGCAUUUGAAACUGCAUAGCUAGAGUACAGGAGAGGCAGGCGGAAUUCCUAGUGUAGCGGUGAAAUGCGUAGAUAUUAGGAGGAACACCAGUGGCGAAAGGCGGCCUGCUGGACUGUUACUGACACUGAGGCACGAAAGCGUGGGGAGCAAACAGGAUUAGAUACCCUGGUAGUCCAC
rnacentral:rRNA from 1 species